UUAACACAGUGGCUUUUGCCAUUCCGAUUCUGCUUGGAGGUCCGUAGUGUCCUGCAACUGCUGUUGAGGUGAGAUAUGACAACUGGCUUUCUCGGCUUUGCUCCAUGCAAAACACCAUCUUCUUUCUAUUUGGGGGUGAUUAGAUUUUCUUCGUUCUGAACGUCAGUAUUGUCAUUCACAAACAUGUUUGCCUCAUCCAGCGCAAGGCCGACUGGACUAGGUUCUAGGGCUACCAAGCAAGUCAUGGGCCUUUCAUUUUCCAAUGCAGCUCAGAGGGUGUCUCCUCGAGAAAUGCCGCCACUUGCCCACCUCACACCCUGAAAGCAUUCGUUGUUUCCCUCAUUGCUGUUGUGGCAAAACGCCUCAGAAAGCAUCUUGAGAGGGGAAGGAUUUAUUUUGGCUUAGUCCGUUUUGAGGGGGAGGGCUGGUGGCUGGAGCAGGUGGCAGCUGGUCACGUGCGUCCGUCCGCAGUUAGGAAGCAGAGAGAGAUGCGUUCAAUGCUCGGUUUGCUUCCUCGUUUCUAUUCGGUCUGGAGUGCCAGCCUGCGGCAUGGUAUCACCCACAUUUAGGGCAGCUGGUCUGGUCUUGGAGUCUUAGCAGCUCUGCUUGUCUGAGAGUCUUCUGUGCAGCAAUGGCUUGGUUCUUCUGAGAGGGACUCUCAGCUUUUCUUGGUUCUAAAGUGACCUGUACUUGGAAUCUGUCAUUGAAUCUCCCUUCCAUGUGUCUGGCCGAGCUUCCCCAUGAGCUGCAGGAAUGGGCACAAUGUAAAAGGUCCCGAGAAGAAUUUCUCUCCCCCACCAUCCAUCCACCUUGAAUCCUCAUCCACUAAGUAAAACAUGUUCUGCACAUAA
rnacentral:sRNA from 1 species